GCUGGGCGUGGUGGCGGGUGCCUGUAGUCCCAGCUACUUGGGAGGCUGAGGCAGGAGAAUCACUUGAACCCAGGAGGUGGAGGUUGUGGUGAGCCGAGAUCAUGCCACUGCACUCCAGCCUGGGCAACAGAGUGAGACUCUGUCUCAA
rnacentral:SRP_RNA from 2 species